rnacentral:rRNA from 1 species
UACGUAGGGUCCGAGCGUUGUCCGGCAUUAUUGGGCGUAAAGAGCUCGUAGGCGGUUUGUCGCGUCUGCUGUGAAAUCCCGAGGCUCAACCUCGGGCCUGCAGUGGGUACGGGCAGACUGGAGUGCGGUAGGGGAGAAUGGAAUUCCUGGUGUAGCGGUGGAAUGCGCAGAUAUCAGGAGGAACACCGAUGGCGAAGGCAGUUCUCUGGGCCGUAACUGACGCUGAGGAGCGAAAGCGUGGGGAGCGAACAGG